AAUAUCUCAACCUCUUUUUCUUUUGAAAUGUGAGGCUUGGAGCUUGGAAGCUUGCAGGAAUGAAACAAGCCUGCUCUUCUGAAAUGCAUGAGUGAAGGAAUUUUCUUGUUGACCGAUCCUUUCACCGGUGUGAAUAAAUGAUAAUAUCUAUUAUGCCACCUUGUGAAGGUCAGAGAAAAGGAGAAUUGCCUUUGCUUUUACAAUUGUCUCUUCUGAGACUGAAGACAUGUUUCUUCAAUUUGACCU
rnacentral:misc_RNA from 1 species